rnacentral:rRNA from 1 species
CCUACGGGAGGCAGCAGUAGGGAAUAUUGCUCAAUGGGGGAAACCCUGAAGCAGCAACGCCGCGUGGAGGAUGACGGUUCUCGGAUUGUAAACCCCUUUUGUUAGAGAAGAUAAUGACGGUAUCUAACGAAUAAGCACCGGCUAACUCCGUGCCAGCAGCCGCGGUAAUACGGAGGGUGCAAGCGUUACUCGGAAUCACUGGGCGUAAAGAGCGCGUAGGCGGGAUAGCAAGUCAGAUGUGAAAUCCUAUGGCUUAACCAUAGAACUGCAUUUGAAACUGUUAUUCUAGAGUAUGGGAGAGGUAGGUGGAAUGCUUGGUGUAGGGGUAAAAUCCGUAGAGAUCAAGAAGAAUACUCAUUGCGAAGGCGGCCUGCUGGAACAUAACUGACGCUGAUGCGCGAAAGCGUGGGGAGCAAACAGGAUUAGAUACCCCAGUAGUC